UACGGAGGGGGCUAGCGUUGUUCGGAAUUACUGGGCGUAAAGCGCGCGUAGGCGGACCUGCAAGUCGGGGGUGAAAGCCCGAGGCUCAACCUCGGAACUGCCUUCGAUACUGCGGGUCUCGAGUCCGGGAGAGGUGAGUGGAAUUCCUAGUGUAGAGGUGAAAUUCGUAGAUAUUAGGAAGAACGCCAGUGGCGAAGGCGGCUCACUGGCCCGGUACUGACGCUGAGGCGCGAAAGCGUGGGUAGCAAACAGG
rnacentral:rRNA from 1 species